UACGGAGGGUGCAAGCGUUAUCCGGAUUCACUGGGUUUAAAGAGUGCGUAGGCGGGCAGGUAAGUCAGUGGUGAAAUCUCCAAGCUUAACUUGGAAACUGCCGUUGAUACUAUCUGUCUUGAAUAUUGUGGAGGUGAGCGGAAUAUGUCAUGUAGCGGUGAAAUGCUUAGAUAUGACAUAGAACACCAAUUGCGAAGGCAGCUCACUACACAAUCAUUGACUCUGAGGCACGAAAGCGUGGGGAUCAAACAGG
rnacentral:rRNA from 1 species